UUCCUGGUGGUCCAGUGGCUAAGGCUCUGCGCUCACAAUGCAGGAGGCCUGGGUUCCAUCCCUGGUCGGGGAA
rfam:TPA: Bos taurus chromosome 11, whole genome shotgun sequence.